UUUAUUAUUUUUGGUGCACUUCCAUUUCAUAAUUAAAGCAGUACACAAUUAUGUAUGAAUGUUUCAACAGAACUAGAAUUAGUAAACAGCUGUCUGCAAAAGAUACUAGCUACUUCAUUUUUGGCCUACCUUUUGGGCAAUGCCAUCUCCACAGAUCUGAGCCCAAUUUUUUGAAUAUACAUUCCAUCCUUAUUUUGGGACUAUUGUUCGCUGUGACUUUUUGGCAGUGUCGCUUCCAUAGGUCUGAAGGAAAUUUUUUAAUACAUGUAAGAUAUACAUCAUUUUUUUGUUCUUUGAACUGUUGUUCAUGCCAUAGGUUACUUUUAAGUUCGCUUUGCCCACCCACAGUUUUGGUUUAUGGUGGACCUUGGAGUUGAGAAGCUACAAUUUUAUUGACGCUCAAGAUUUCAUAAAUGGCAUCUGCAGAACAUCUGAAAGAAUUUUGAAGUGUGUAUUUUGUUUCAAUUUCAUUCGCUCUUUCUUUAUCUUCAGUUCUUCAGUCUAGCUUAGAGGUAGAAGAUUGUUGUCUAAGUCUAUCAAUAUUGCUCAAUAUCCCAACUUAAUUCAACCAUUGUUUGUAUCACUUUCCUGAACGCCAUGAAGUAAUUUAUUUUCCGGAGCUGCUUUAUUUAUUCCAUUACUUCUCUUCUGGAUUUGGCCGGAGUCCUUUGCUUAAAGCUCUUGCCCCUGAUGGAAAAAAGUUCAUGCUUUUCAUUUGCUUCAUUUAUAUGUUACCUUGUGAUUUUUUGUUUGACUCUUCUUGACCAUUCACAUUUGAUGUUUAGAUAAUUAUAAUCUCUACUCAUGUAACCUUUCCAGUCCUUGUGUAGUCAUUAUUUCCCCCUCUUUUUUUGUACGUAUAUUCAUAAUGUUCGUGCAUAGUUUCAGAAGUGAACACUAAGUUCUUCGUUCACUAGAUUUUAUUUAAUGUUUCAUGAACAUGGUCCGGUUUUCACCUUAGGUUCAGUUACAUGCACUGUUUUCCGAUCUAUGUCGCUCUAUGGGAUGCAUUUUUUUUCAGUUCUCCUUUUUGUUCUUGUGCAAUUUUUAUAUCUGGGAUCAUAACACUCACUCUUUUUCGUGUGUAAUCGGUGGUCAUCCAGAAAAUACCAAAGGAAGACCGGUGGGACUAUGGUUUGGUGAGCGGAGCUUUACUAGGACUGAGUAUGACGAAGAAGCAUGGAUGCAAGAAAUUUCCCCUGAAAAUAGGACUUGAGAAAUAACAUGCUUGGAGGUCGCUGUCUACCAUCUCUCUCUGACUGCCCCUCCUCCCAUUGACAUGGCAUGCUGGUCACCGUUGUGUCUCCCGCUGGCUUGCCCCUCGCCAUCGUCGGGAGGGUUUUGUGGGCUGUUCUGCAUUGAAAUCCAUAUAACUUUGAAAAGGUCACCACCGUGCCGUCUCUCUCUCUCUGACUGCCCCUCCCAUCGUCUUGGUUUGCUGGAUGCCGUUGUGUCCCCCGCCAGUUCGCUCGUCGCCAUCGCUUGAUGGGUUGUGUAGGCUGCCGCUCAUGCAAUUGCUCUGCAGUGACCAGUGAGGACCAUGGCAUCGAGACAGCCCAAAAGGGAAACACCGCCGACCACCGCACCGGUGGAGGCCUCCCUGUCUGCCGGCAACUGGAUACCACCGCUUGUGAAAGGGGGCAUCACCAUGUAAGAUAGUUUCUAAAAUCAUUUCCUAUGUAGUAUCCUCAGAUGCACUGCUCAGGCCUUGCUCGCCUUGCAUACAAAUGU